rnacentral:misc_RNA from 1 species
AAGUCGUAACAAGGUUUCCGUAGGUGAACCUGCGGAAGGAUCAUUAUGAAUUGUGAUGGGCUUGAUGCUGGCUUGUCCAUCCUUUGGCUGCAUGUGCUCGCCCAGCAAUCCUUUUCCAAACACCUGUGCACCUUCCUUGUGAGAAUGGGAGAGAAAGGGCUUGCCUCUUUUAUUUCGCUCUGAUUCAUAACGCUGUUGUAAUGUUGAAUGCAUUUAUGCCGUCAAGGCUUUAACCUAAUACAA